AGACCCGAAACCCGGUGAUCUAGCCAUGGGCAGGUUGAAGGUUGGGUAACACUAACUGGAGGACCGAACCGACUAAUGUUGAAAAAUUAGCGGAUGACUUGUGGCUGGGGGUGAAAGGCCAAUCAAACCGGGAGAUAGCUGGUUCUCCCCGAAAGCUAUUUAGGUAGCGCCUCGUGAAUUCAUCUCCGGGGGUAGAGCACUGUUUCGGCAAGGGGGUCAUCCCGACUUACCAACCCGAUGCAAACUGCGAAUACCGGAGAAUGUUAUCACGGGAGACACACGGCGGGUGCUAACGUCCGUCGUGAAGAGGGAAACAACCCAGACCGCCAGCUAAGGUCCCAAAGUCAUGGUUAAGUGGGAAACGAUGUGGGAAGGCCCAGACAGCCAGGAUGUUGGCUUAGAAGCAGCCAUCAUUUAAAGAAAGCGUAAUAGCUCACUGGUCGAGUCGGCCUGCGCGGAAGAUGUAACGGGGCUAAACCAUGCACCGAAGCUGCGGCAGCGACACUGUGUGUUGUUGGGUAGGGGAGCGUUCUGUAAGCCUGUGAAG
rnacentral:rRNA from 1 species